rnacentral:rRNA from 1 species
GACGAACGCUGGCGGCGUGCUUAACACAUGCAAGUCGAACGGAAAGGCCCUGCUUGCAGGGUACUCGAGUGGCGAACGGGUGAGUAACACGUGGGUGAUCUGCCCUGCACUUCGGGAUAGGCCUGGAAACCGGGUUCUAUUCCGGGUAGGAGCCCAUUUUAGGUUGGUGGGUGGGAAGGUUUUUUGGUUGUAGGAUGAGCUCGCGGCCUAUCAGCUUGUUGGUGGGGUAUUGGCCUACCAAGGCGGCGACGGGUAGCCGGCCUGAGAGGGUGGACGGCCACAUUGGGACUGAGAUACGGCCCAGACUCCUACGGGAGGCAGCAGUGGGGAAUAUUGCACAAUGGGCGCAAGCCUGAUGCAGCGACGCCGCGUGGGGGAUGACGGCCUUCGGGUUGUAAACUCCUUUCGCUAGGGACGAAGCUUUUUGUGACGGUACCUAGAUAAGAAGCACCGGCUAACUACGUG